rnacentral:rRNA from 1 species
CGUACCUUUUGUAUAAUGGGUCAGCGACUUAUAUUCUGUAGCAAGGUUAACCGAAUAGGGGAGCCGAAGGGAAACCGAGUCUUAACCGGGCGUUAAGUUGCAGGGUAUAGACCCGAAACCCGGUGAUCUAGCCAUGGGCAGGUUGAAGGUUGGGUAACACUAACUGGAGGACCGAACCGACUAAUGUUGAAAAAUUAGCGGAUGACUUGUGGCUGGGGGUGAAAGGCCAAUCAAACCGGGAGAUAGCUGGUUCUCCCCGAAAGCUAUUUAGGUAGCGCCUCGUGAAUUCAUCUCCGGGGGUAGAGCACUGUUUCGGCAAGGGGGUCAUCCCGACUUACCAACCCGAUGCAAACUGCGAAUACCGGAGAAUGUUAUCACGGGAGACACACGGCGGGUGCUAACGUCCGUCGUGAAGAGGGAAACAACCCAGACCGCCAGCUAAGGUCCCAAAGUCAUGGUUAAGUGGGAAACGAUGUGGGAAGGCCCAGACAGCCAGGAUGUUGGCUUAGAAGCAGCCAUCAUUUAAAGAAAGCGUAAUAGCUCACUGGUCGAGUCGGCCUGCGCGGAAGAUGUAACGGGGCUAAACCAUGCACCGAAGCUGCGGCAGCGACACUGUGUGUUGUUGGGUAGGGGAGCGUUCUGUAAGCCUGUGAAGGUGUACUGUAAGGUAUGCUGGAGGUAUCAGAAGUGCGAAUGCUGACAUAAGUAACGAUAAAGCGGGUGAAAAGCCCGCUCGCCGGAAGACCAAGGGUUCCUGUCCAACGUUAAUCGGGGCAGGGUGAGUCGACCCCUAAGGCGAGGCCGAAAGGCGUAGUCGAUGGGAAACAGGUUAAUAUUCCUGUACUUGGUGUUACUGCGAAGGGGGGACGGAGAAGGCUAUGUUGGCCGGGCGACGGUUGUCCCGGUUUAAGCGUGUAGGCUGGUUUUCCAGGCAAAUCCGGAAAAUCAAGGCUGAGGCGUGAUGACGAGGCACUACGGUGCUGAAGCAACAAAUGCCCUGCUUCCAGGAAAAGCCUCUAAGCAUCAGGUAACAUCAAAUCGUACCCCAAACCGACACAGGUGGUCAGGUAGAGAAUACCAAGGCGCUUGAGAGAACUCGGGUGAAGGAACUAGGCAAAAUGGUGCCGUAACUUCGGGAGAAGGCACGCUGAUAUGUAGGUGAAGUCCCUCGCGGAUGGAGCUGAAAUCAGUCGAAGAUACCAGCUGGCUGCAACUGUUUAUUAAAAACACAGCACUGUGCAAACACGAAAGUGGACGUAUACGGUGUGACGCCUGCCCGGUGCCGGAAGGUUAAUUGAUGGGGUCAGCGCAAGCGAAGCUCUUGAUCGAAGCCCCGGUAAACGGCGGCCGUAACUAUAACGGUCCUAAGGUAGCGAAAUUCCUUGUCGGGUAAGUUCCGACCUGCACGAAUGGCGUAAUGAUGGCCAGGCUGUCUCCACCCGAGACUCAGUGAAAUUGAACUCGCUGUGAAGAUGCAGUGUACCCGCGGCAAGACGGAAAGACCCCGUGAACCUUUACUAUAGCUUGACACUGAACAUUGAGCCUUGAUGUGUAGGAUAGGUGGGAGGCUUUGAAGUGUGGACGCCAGUCUGCAUGGAGCCGACCUUGAAAUACCACCCUUUAAUGUUUGAUGUUCUAACGUGGACCCGUGAUCCGGGUUGCGGACAGUGUCUGGUGGGUAGUUUGACUGGGGCGGUCUCCUCCUAAAGAGUAACGGAGGAGCACGAAGGUUGGCUAAUCCUGGUCGGACAUCAGGAGGUUAGUGCAAUGGCAUAAGCCAGCUUGACUGCGAGCGUGACGGCGCGAGCAGGUGCGAAAGCAGGUCAUAGUGAUCCGGUGGUUCUGAAUGGAAGGGCCAUCGCUCAACGGAUAAAAGGUACUCCGGGGAUAACAGGCUGAUACCGCCCAAGAGUUCAUAUCGACGGCGGUGUUUGGCACCUCGAUGUCGGCUCAUCACAUCCUGGGGCUGAAGUAGGUCCCAAGGGUAUGGCUGUUCGCCAUUUAAAGUGGUACGCGAGCUGGGUUUAGAACGUCGUGAGACAGUUCGGUCCCUAUCUGCCGUGGGCGCUGGAGAACUGAGGGGGGCUGCUCCUAGUACGAGAGGACCGGAGUGGACGCAUCACUGGUGUUCGGGUUGUCAUGCCAAUGGCACUGCCCGGUAGCUAAAUGCGGAAGAGAUAAGUGCUGAAAGCAUCUAAGCACGAAACUUGCCCCGAGAUGAGUUCUCCCUGACCCUUUAAGGGUCCUGAAGGAACGUUGAAGACGACGACGUUGAUAGGCCGGGUGUGUAAGCGCAGCGAUGCGUUGAGCUAACCGGUACUAAUGAACCGUGAGGCUUAACCUU